rnacentral:rRNA from 1 species
UACGGAGGAUGCGAGCGUUAUCCGGAUUUAUUGGGUUUAAAGGGUGCGCAGGCGGGCUGUUAAGCCGGCGGUAAAAAUUCAGGGCUCAACCCUGUCGAGCCGUCGGAACCGGGGGCCUUGAGUACCGGAGAAGUACGCGGAAUGCGUGGUGUAGCGGUGAAAUGCAUAGAUAUCGCGCAGAACCCCGAUUGCGAAGGCAGCCUGCCGGCCCCACACUGACGCUGAGGCACGAAAGCGUGGGUAUCGAACAGG